GACGAACGCUGGCGGCGUGCUUAACACAUGCAAGUCGAACGGAAAGGCCCUGCUUUUGUGGGGUGCUCGAGUGGCGAACGGGUGAGUAACACGUGAGUAACCUGCCCUUGACUUUGGGAUAACUUCAGGAAACUGGGGCUAAUACCGGAUAGGAGCUCCUGCUGCAUGGUGGGGGUUGGAAAGUUUCGGCGGUUGGGGAUGGACUCGCGGCUUAUCAGCUUGUUGGUGGGGUAGUGGCUUACCAAGGCUUUGACGGGUAGCCGGCCUGAGAGGGUGACCGGCAACAUUGGGACGGGGAUCGGGCCCAGAUUCCUCGGGGGGGAAGAGGGGGGGAAAUUUGAAAAUGGGGGGGAGCCCGGUGGAAGAAAGGCGGCGGGCGGGAUGACGGCUUUCGGGUGGAAAACGGCUUUGGCCGGGGAGAAGCGGGGGGUAAGGGAAUGGGGUAAGAAGCACCCGGUUAACACCUUG
rnacentral:rRNA from 1 species